rnacentral:lncRNA from 1 species
GUUCACUGCAGUUUUAAGAGUUAUAUUUGUGAAUCGGCUUCCUCCCCGUGAUGCUUGAACAAUGCCUGAUCGCUGUAUUGCCCGUUCUUGCACUUCGGGCAACCCCAAUUAUGAAAAACCUGAGAAGGUCUAACUUUUCACAGAUUUCCUCAUGAUCCAAAUGUGAGAAAAAAUUGGAUUAAAGCAAUCGAAAAAGUGAGAAAAAAUUAGAAACAUCCAUCGAAUUUAAAAAAGUCGCCGUUAAUUUGCUCACUUUAUUUUCAUUCAAAUUGUUUCCAUCACCGAGAGUUGCGAUUCGUUGACCCUGAGGAAGAAGAAAAGGGAGUCUCAAGUUCUUCAACGGCUGAGAGGGUCAAUUCCUAAUGUAUUCCCAAAUGCACAUUUCUACCUAAACGAACCUCUUCCUGCAACUCGAGUAAUAAAUAGUCUCUCUCAAAAUAGAAAUGAAACUCUUCAACUUAGGUAUGAGCUUCAGGCGGAGUGUUAUUUUAAUGAUGUCAAAUGUGACCCCCUUUUUGACCUUAAAAAGAAAUUAGAUGAGACAGAACUUGUCGAUGGAUUUAACGUUCUGAUGAGAAAAUGCUCAGAAGAAAUCAUCAUAUUCAAGAUGUCCAACAAUAAUGAUAAAGGCCCUCAAAUCUUGAGUUGCUUACUUAUUAAGAAAGACUUGCAAUAUGAAGUUUUUUAUAAUUAUUCUUACUAUCU